GGGGGGGGGGGGGGGGGGGGGUAGCGGAGGGAAGGGGGGCGGAGGGGGCCAAGCUUGCGUGGGGACGCGAGUGGCGAACGGGGGAGUAACACGUGGGGGAGCGGCCCUGCAGUGCGGGAGAAGCCUGGGGGACUGGGUCUAGGCCCGGAUAGGCCGAUGGGUUGGAUGCCAGUGUGGACAGUUGUUUCGGUGUGUGAUGAGCUCGCGGCCUAUCCGCUUGUUGGUGGGGUAAUGGCCUACCAAGGCGUCGGCGGGUAGCCGGCCUGAGAUGGUGUACGGCCCCAUUGGGCCUGCGAUCCGGCCCAGACUCCUACGGGAGGCAGCCAUGGGGAAUAUUGCACAAUGGGCGCAAGCCUGAUGCAGCGACGCCGCGUGGGGGAUGACGGCCUUCGGGUUGUAAACUCCUUUCGCUAGGGACGAAGCGUUUUUGUGACGGUACCUGGAGAAGAAGCCCCGGCUAACUACGUG
rnacentral:rRNA from 1 species